rnacentral:lncRNA from 1 species
CCAUAAGUGGUUAGGAGAGGAAGAUGGACAGGAAACAAGGAAAAUACCCCAAGAGAAAGAGCGGAAGUGAAGGAAACUCUUCCGGUGUCUACAGCUGAAAACUCAUGUAGCUGUUUGUGAUUGGUCGUUUCUUAGGGGGUGGGAUUUUUUAUGAUAGGCUGUUUGUGAUUGGUUGUUUCUUAGGGGGUGGGGUGUUUUUUGUGGUAGGCUGUUUGUGAUUGGUUAUUUCUUAGGGGGUGGGAUUUCUUUUAUGGUAGACUGUGAUUGGUUGUUUCUUAUGGGUGGGGUGUUUUUUAUGGGAGACUGUUUGUGAUUGGUUGUUGUCCUUGUCUUUCCUUUCAGUGCACCGCCAUGGCCCUUUGGACCCGCUGGCUUUAAUGGCUUUCUAGUUUAUUUAAUGGAGAGAACACCAGCUCUUGGGAGUCAGAAAUAACUGUGACAGCACAAGCCUCCUGGGCCUCCUCGGGAAGCCUCGCGCGUGGGUCGAUGUUCCCCUGCCGCCAUCUUGAUGUGCUCAACGGUGUGGUCUUCUAAGCUGUGCUUUGUAAGUGAAGGCCAGCGGGGAAACGGAGCACAGGAGGAGGUCAACGAAAUACGCUUCACUCGCAUGUCCCCGGCAUCACGCCGCACAGUAUCCCGGAUACUUGGGAGAGCGACAGGAGGGAUGCUGAUUCUUAUCCUGAUACCAAACAAACAAAAGUAAAACACCUAAAUUAAAUCAAGGUUAUUGAAAUGGCCAAGGGUCAUUAAGAGAAGAUUUAAGAAGAGUAAGCUGAGAAUAUUUGCCAUCCGGAUCUCAAGAAUAAAGUAGUGGUAUUUGUGUAAGAGAUAGAUAAA